rnacentral:rRNA from 1 species
UAAUAUAAGUGGCUUAAUUUAUUAAAAGUAAGCUUAUUAUGAAAAUAAUCAUAAAAAACUAACACAAGACGCGAAACGAAGUGAGCUUAGGUAGACCAGGGGGAAGGUUGCCGGAAGGUAGUUGGACGCCCGAAGUGGUAUGCGUUGCAACGCAUUCAUAUGAGUUUAUCUAAGUGGCGAAAUACCAAUCGAACUUCGAAAUAUCUCGUUUUUUGCGAAACCUUUUUAGGAAGGGGGCCUGCAGAAUAAAUGCUAACUAGGUAGAGCGCUGUAAAACUGAUGGGAAGGAAACUUUUACUGAGGUGUUGCAAACCACAAAUUAGGAGCAUUUUGCCAGGUACUCAGUCAGUGCGGGACAAGCUGCAUUUGACAAGAAGGAAACAGCCUAGACUAUUAAUUAAGGCCCGUAAAUAGCGCUAAGUGAGAAAGUAAUUAACUUCACAAAAAUUAGUAGGACGUUUGAUUAGCAGCAUCUACCGUUUAAAGAAAGCGUAAUAGCUCACUACUAUAGUUUAGUUGUUGCGAAAAUUUAGCCGGACUAAGCGCUAUGCCGAAAUUAUAGCUAACUGGGGUUUAGCAGAAUAUAACAAUAAAGCCAGUUAGAGUAGCAAAACGAACCAUGUUGACAAAAUUAUGUCGGUAAGACUUAAUGAAAAUAUUGGUUGUGAAUAUAUCAGCUAGAGUAACAUAUAAAUUGGGAUUCUUAAUUAAUGCAGCUUUGUAUAAAUUGUUUUUUUCUAAUAAUGAUAUUACUUGUUAUAUACAAAGGUGUAUUAAUUCAGAACAGUAUCUCAAUGAUCGGAAAUCCUGGGUUUUCUACACAACUAUUAAAGAUGUAGUUAAAAAUACGGUCCCUAAGUAUUAUAAAGGUUACGAUGGGUACUUGCUGUGUCCAACAAAACCUUAUUGAUAGGUCUGUUGCAGGAAACAGUAGCAAGACAUUACGCUACGCGUAGCAUAAUAUUUGUUUUACGCGUAUUAUAAGCACCGUACUAAAACUGACUCUGGUGGAUUGGUAGAUUUUACUAAGAUUUGGUUAUAAUCGCUCGUAAGGAACUCGGCAAAUUGCGCUGGUACUUUCGAAAACAGCGGUCUAAAAGUGGUGUUUUAGAUCUCAGAUAAGAGAACUGGGUGACAGUUUACUAAAAACUUAGCGUCCUGCCAAUUUGAAACAAGACGUAUAGGAUGUGACGUUUGCUAACGGCCACUAAUUUAAGUAAUCUGUUGUAAAAGAUAGAUCAACAAGAUGUGGUGACGAGCGGCCGUAACUAUAACGGUCAUAAAGUAGCGAAAUUCCUAGGCAUUUAAUUGGUGUCCUGCAUGAAUAACGUAACAACCUGGUUGCUGUCUCGCGAGCGAAAACCGUGAAAUAAGAAUAUCGGUUAAAAUACCGAUUAGGCUGUCUUAGACGAUAAGACCCUGUGAAGCUUUACUGUAACCUAACAUUGCGAUCGGUUUUUUAUCUUACAGUUAGGCGGGAGGUAACGACAAUGGAAAACCGCUAGAUAAUAAAUUGGUCGCUUUUAUAUAAGAUUACUUUUUAAUCUAUAAGAUAUUUAUAUAAGUAGCUUCAUAGAGCAUCUGUUAUGCGAAUAAAAGGCACUAUAUGUAAGUAGGCCUUAUAUAAAACACUUUAAUUAACAAAGAUCGAAGACAGUGUUAGGUGGGCAGUUUACUUGGGGCGAGGUCUGGCUAAAAGGUAACGCCAGAGAGCAAAAGGUAUGCUCAGUAUUGUCGGAAACAAUACGUAGAGCGUAAUAGUAUAAGCAUGCCUGAUUAUAAGACUGACAAGUCGAAUAAAGACGAAAGUCUGCUAUAGUGACCCUCACACGCUAUGUGGAAAGGUGUGAGAUCAACGAAUCAAAGUUACUCCAGGGAUAACAGGGUAGUCCUGGCUUAUAGUUCUUAUAGACGCCAGGGUUCGCCACCUCGAUGUUGCCUCAGGUCAUCCUGGAGCUGAACAAGGUUCCAAGGGCGCAACUGUUCUUUGCAUAAUGACCUACGUGAGGUGAGUUUAAACCGCCGUAAGGCAGGUUUGGUUCUAUCUAGACAGCCAUACUAUUUAACCAAGCACUAGAGUUCCACUGUACGAAAGGACCCGGAAUUCCACGCCAAUGGUUUAGCAAUUGUUUUGAAAAAAGCAUGGUUGCAACGCUAAGCGUGAAAUGUUAAUUGCUGAAAAACUAUCAAGCAAGAAACAAUUGUAAAGGUUAUAGGAGAUCGCAUUUGCGUAAAUAGGCGCGGGGUGUACGCUUUGUAAUAAGCUCAGCUACCGCGUACUAAUUUUUUUUUUUU